GGUCUUGCAAAGAGAACACUCUGAUGCUCAAGUUAGAUGGGAAAUUGGGAAAUUGAGUGAAUAGGAUUCAGAAAAAAGUGUCUCUACCUGAUAAAUGGUCCCCCAUUUAUAAUCCUUACAUUCAUAACUGACCAUUAAUUACCGUAAACCGUCGUAUCUUCCGUUACUUUCCCAUCAAAGCCAAUCAAUGCUUCUCUGUGCCACCAUCACUCUGACUUUAAGUCCAACCGACCGGUCCCCUUGCAAAUGGGUUUUACUCCCUCCGAUCCUUCCGGUCGGUCUAACCGGACCCCUUACACUACACAAGCCCCCCAAGCCCCGAGCGACAUCGUCAGUGAAGGGGUUUGACAACCUACCAAAAGGGAAUCCUGACACUGAAACGUCUCGACACCUCAGCCACCUGAUUAAAUCUUCACGAAUGGUCAAGAUCUCAUUGCCCAUCAAUCAUACCUGUUCAUCGAAGAGUCACCAAUUUCACUCCGUUAGAUCUGCCGCCUAUAGACGGUUGCGAUGAAUCCCCUAAACCAUUUUUUGCGGCUAUAAAAGGUGGAGGGCCCCCCUCCCAUUUUAUUCACUCCUUCCUCUGUGCCUUAUUCCUCUCGCUCCUCCUUCCCCUACUGUGCCUCAUUACUCCUCAGGUAAUGUCUUCGUCUACAUGGUCUUCCGAUGAGUUUGGGGGUGAAGGUCGGGGGUGUUGACAAAUUGGCAAGUGUACCAAAUCGUACAAGUAAUAUAAAUGGUAAGACGAAGUAUCGUUUUCCCAAGAGACUCGUAUGGCUUUCUCGUUCGCGUGAAUUAAAAUAAUAAGACUUGAAAAAUAAAAAUUAAUAAAUUGGAUUUGAGAACAAAAAUAUUAACAUGCAAAAAUAAAGUUGAUUCAAUUGACAAAUGAAAACAAUGGAUGAAUGGAUGUUCUUGGGGGUUUACAAUUUCAUCUAUUCCACUCUAUCUUACAUACUACCCUUGAAUAUUAGUUUGAUUAAUUGUUAUGCGACUUUCUUAGCCUCCCCUUAACCCGAUCCCUCGGCGAAAAGGGCCUAAUAUUAACUACUGGCUUGCUAUCCCUAGCCUCCCCU
rnacentral:lncRNA from 1 species